GGCAUGUAGAAAGAUUCACUGGUUUGCUCUGCUCAUUUUUCUAUGUAUAAUACAAUCAACUAGCCUUAUGCCAGGGGGAACGGCGACGGCGGCUUGAACACAGAUUUGUCCAACUUUGCAGGGAUUAAUUCGUUUUUUGGGGGGACACAUUCAUUUAACAGAUUUUCCUUUGGAGGCCUUCUGUUUCAUCAACAGACUGGUUAACGCCUUGGACACUAGAUGGCCAAAUAUUAAGGAAAUCAAAGAUAUAAUAAAAUUAACCGCCUUUUUGAAUAUCAAUUCUUCAAAUUUGAUGUACAUUUUUGGAAAGUUUUGUAUUACCUAUGAAAAUGCAUUUUAUUUUAU
rnacentral:lncRNA from 1 species